rnacentral:rRNA from 1 species
UACGUAGGGGGCAAGCGUUGUCCGGAUUUAUUGGGCGUAAAGAGCGUGUAGGCGGCCUGACAGGUCUGCUGUGAAAACUCGAGGCUCAACCUCGAGAUGUCGGCGGAAACCGUCUGGCUAGAGUCCGGAAGAGGAGAGUGGAAUUCCUGGUGUAGCGGUGAAAUGCGCAGAUAUCAGGAAGAACACCUAUGGCGAAGGCAGCUCUCUGGGGACGGUACUGACGCUGAGACGCGAAAAGCGUGGGGAGCGAACAGG